GUACACUCCUACGGGAGGCAGCAGUAGGGAAUCUUCGGCAAUGGGGGCAACCCUGACCGAGCAACGCCGCGUGAGUGAAGAAGGUUUUCGGAUCGUAAAGCUCUGUUGUAAGUCAAGAACGAGUGUGAGAGUGGAAAGUUCACACUGUGACGGUAGCUUACCAGAAAGGGACGGCUAACUACGUGCCAGCAGCCGCGGUAAUACGUAGGUCCCGAGCGUUGUCCGGAUUUAUUGGGCGUAAAGCGAGCGCAGGCGGUUUGAUAAGUCUGAAGUUAAAGGCUGUGGCUCAACCAUAGUUCGCUUUGGAAACUGUCAAACUUGAGUGCAGAAGGGGAGAGUGGAAUUCCAUGUGUAGCGGUGAAAUGCGUAGAUAUAUGGAGGAACACCGGUGGCGAAAGCGGCUCUCUGGUCUGUAACUGACGCCGAGGCUCGAAAGCGUGGGGAGCGAACAGGAUUAGAAACCCGAGUAGUCCCA
rnacentral:rRNA from 1 species